GACGAACGCUGGCGGCGUGCUUAACACAUGCAAGUCGAACGGAAAGGCCUUUUCGGAGGUACUCGAGUGGCGAACGGGUGAGUAACACGUGGGUGAUCUGCCCUGCACUCUGGGAUAAGCCUGGGAAACUGGGUCUAAUACCGGAUAGGACCGCACUUUAGUGUGUGUGGUGGAAAGUUUUUUCGGUGUAGGAUGAGCCCGCGGCCUAUCAGCUUGUUGGUGGGGUAAUGGCCUACCAAGGCGGCGACGGGUAGCCGGACUGAGAGGUUGGUCGGCCACAUUGGGACUGAGAUACGGCCCAGACUCCUACGGGAGGCAGCAGUGGGGAAUAUUGCACAAUGGGCGCAAGCCUGAUGCAGCGACGCCGCGUGGGGGAUGACGGCCUUCGGGUUGUAAACUCCUUUCGCCAGGAACGAAGCGUUUUGUGACGGUACCUGGAGAAGAAGCACCGGCUAACUACGUG
rnacentral:rRNA from 1 species